UAGAUACCCCCACUAUACCUUGCUGUAAACUUUAAUUUACACCCCCUAGAAUCGCCAGGGAACUACGAGCAAAGCUUAAAACCCAAAGGACUUGACGGUGCCCCAUAUCCCCCUAGAGGAGCCUGUCCUAUAACCGAUGAUCCCCGUUUAACCUCACCACUUCUAGCUAAUCAGCUUGUAUACUUCCGUCGCCAGCUUACCCCGUGAGCGAAACUCAGUUAGCUCAACUGGCUUACUUAUUUAUCAACACCGCCAGUACGUCAGGUCGAAGUGCAGCAAAUGAAGUGGAAAGAGAUUGGCUACACUCUUUAACUUAAAAAACAACGAAAGACAAAUAAUGAAACUUUGUCAGAAGGCGGAUUUAGCAGUAAAAAGAAUUCAUUAUAUUCAUUUUAAGUCGGCCCUGGAGCGUGUACACACCGCCCGUCACCCUCUUCAACAAAACUAUUAAAGUAUUUAACUACUCCCUACCACCAGAGAAGAGGUAAGUCGUAACAUGGUAAGUAUACCGGAAGGUGUACUUGGAAACAAAACAGUAGCUUAAAUAAAGCAUCUUGCUUACACCAAGAACAUGUCCAUAACAGGACCAUUUUGAAUUUAGCUAAAAGCCUAGCCCAAAAUCUACAAUCUACCAACCCUAUAAAACUAAAAUAUUCUAUUCAAUUUAGUAAAGACGAUUAAAAAAUUUAUUGGAGCUAUAACACACGUACCGCAAGGGA
rnacentral:rRNA from 1 species